rnacentral:rRNA from 1 species
AGCAUAUCAAUAAGCGGAGGAAAAGAAACCAACAGGGAUUGCCUCAGUAACGGCGAGUGAGGCGGCAAGAGCUCAGAUUUGAAAUCCGGCAGGCUAUGUUUGCCCGAGUUGUAAUCUGGAGAGAGGACUUCGGUUUAGGCAUUGGUCAAGAUUCCUUGGAAUAGGAUGACAUAGAGGGUGAGAAUCCCGUACCUGGCUGACCGCCGACACCAUGUGAAGCUUCUUCGACGAGUCGAGUUGUUUGGGAAUGCAGCUCUAAAUGAGUGGUAAAUUCCAUCUAAAGCUAAAUAUCUGCGAGAGACCGAUAGCGCACAAGUAGAGUGAUCGAAAGAUGAAAAGCACUUUGAAAAGAGAGUUAAAAAGUACGUGAAAUUGUUGAAAGGGAAGCGCUUGCCAUCAGAAUUGGGGCCGGCCGAUCAGCGUUCCUUCUGGUUCGUGCACUCGGCCGGCAUCCGUGCCAGCACCAGUUGCGGCGGCAUGAUAAAGGCGGAGGGAAUGUGGCUCCCCUCGGGGAGUGUUAUAGCCCACCGUGCCAUGAUGCCUGCCGCGACUGAGGACCGCGCCCUAGGCAAGGGUGCUGGCCUAAUGGUUGUAAGCGGCCCGUCU